GGCUCAGGGUGAACGCUGGCGGUGCGUCUAAUGCAUGCAAGUCGAGCGAGAACCUCCGGUUCGCCGGAGGGGAGAGCGGCGGACGGCUGAGUAACGCGUGAGUAACCUGUCCUUGAGUGGGGUACAACCUCGAGAGAUCGAGGCUAAUCCCUCAUAAGUUCCCCCAACUCUGGUUAGGGGAGGAAACCCAGCUUGCUGGGGCUCAUUGAGGGGCUCGCGUCCUAUGGCUCAGGUAGUUGGUGAGGUAACGGCCCACCAAGCCGAAGACGGGUAGCUGGUCUGAGAAGAUGGUCAGCCAGAGGGAGACUGAGACACGGCUCCCACUCCUACGGGAGGCAGCAGCAAAGAAUUUUGAUGGGCGAAAGCCUGACCCAGCGACACCGCGUGGAGGAUGAAGGCCUUCGGGUCGUAAACUCCUUUUCCAGGGGAAGAGAAGGGACGGUACCCUGGGAAUAAGCCCCGGCUAACUACGUGCCAGCAGCCGCGGUAAUACGUAGGGGGCAAGCGUUACCCGGAUUUAUUGGGCGUAAAGAGCGCGAAUAGGCGGCUGGAUAAGUCUCCUGUGAAAUCUUCUGGCUUAACUGGAAGAGGUCAGGGGAUACUGUUCGGCUUGAGGGCAGCAGAGGAAGACGGAAUUCCCGGUGUAGCGGUGAAAUGCGUAGAUAUCGGGAGGAACACCAGAGGCGAAGGCGGUCUUCUGGGCUGUGCCUGACGCUGAGGCGCGAAAGCGUGGGUAGCAAACCGGAUUAGAUACCCGGGUAGUCCACGCCCUAAACGAUGGACGCUAAGUAUGGGGGGGUAUCGACCCCCUCCGUGCUGAAGCAAACGCAUUAAGCGUCCCGCCU
rnacentral:rRNA from 1 species